AUGUGUGUAGGAGGAAUUGAUUUACUCCAGUGGAAACAAGGAAACACUUGAUUUAAAUCAAUUUUAAA
rnacentral:ncRNA from 2 species